GCCGAGGUGGUGGAACUGGUAGACACUCGGGACUUAAAAUCCCGUGGCCCGUGAGGGCCGUGUGGGUUCGAUCCCCACCCUCGGCACCA
rnacentral:tRNA from 1 species